AUUGAACGCUGGCGGCAGGCUUAACACAUGCAAGUCGAGCGGAAACGAUGGGAGCUUGCUCCCAGGCGUCGAGCGGCGGACGGGUGAGUAACGCGUAGGAAUCUGCCUGAUAGAGGGGGAUAGCUCGGGGAAACUCGAAUUAAUACCGCAUACGCCCUACGGGGGAAAGCAGGGGAUCUUCGGACCUUGCACUAUCAGAUGAGCCUGCGUCGGAUUAGCUAGUUGGUGGGGUAAAGGCCCACCAAGGCGACGAUCCGUAACUGGUCUGAGAGGAUGAUCAGUCACACCGGAACUGAGACACGGUCCGGACUCCUACGGGAGGCAGCAGUGGGGAAUAUUGGACAAUGGGGGCAACCCUGAUCCAGCCAUGCCGCGUGUGUGAAGAAGGCCUUCGGGUUGUAAAGCACUUUAAGCAGGGAGGAAAGGGGCAAGACUAAUAAUCUUGUCAGUUGACGUACCU
rnacentral:rRNA from 1 species